GAGUGAGGAUUGAGAUGAGAGAGAUGAUGAGAAUGGAGGAUAAGGGAGGGAGGAGGAACAAAAGUGAAAACAAUUUCAAAUAUAUUUCAGUUUUUAGUUUUUGUUUUCACUUUUGUUACUCCUUCCUCUUAUCCUCUCUUUUCAUCUUCUCUCUCAAUCUCAUCUUCACUCAAUUUCAUUCU
rnacentral:snoRNA from 1 species